UUCUAUUGUGCCCGUUUUAUAGGUCUGGCGGCCCAGAGAAGUUAGCAAACAAAUUGAAAACCUGGGUCGGUUCACCCAAAGGCUUCUAAGAGAAAAGAACGGCUUCUGCAAGUGUGCUCUACCCUCCCCCACCCCACAGAGGGAGAUGCGGAUCAGGGAAUAAAGUGCUAGCAACGCCAGAGGCGCAAGGAAGAGGAGAGCCCACGGGGAAACAGGGCCACACCACCUGAAAGAACUCCUCUGGCCUUUGGAAGGGACUUCCCACCGAGAGCUGUUUCCAGGCAUACCACACUGAGCCUUCCGUGCACCGGGUCCCUGUGUAACUUCACUGUCGGGCGCCACAGAAAGCCUGCUCCGAAAAACCACCCUGUGAUUCGUGCUGAAUGAAUUCCUGGCAUACACUGUCAGAAGCGGUGGUGAGGGGGUGGAUUCUGACGAGGAAACUCUAAUGGAGGAGGCAGGGGAAAGACUGGAUCAGAUUUGGGAAGAUCAAAGGAUAGAGCGCCCCUGCCUUUGCCCUUAGGUGGCAGUUGCCUCCCAGCCUCUUUGUACCAGCUUGCUCUCCGGUUGCCGCCUGCCUUCCUUUGUUCCACCUCAGGGAUCAGAACCAGGGCAAUUGCCAGAUGCCCCGCAGCCUGACCUCCAGCCCACAGGCAUCCUUACUGCCUGCAAAGACCUCAACCAACUUCUGGGCUGUCCAGUCUUUCCUUUGCAAUAAACAUGUGCUUUCUUUAAAAAAAAAAA